UACGGAGGGGGCUAGCGUUGUUCGGAAUUACUGGGCGUAAAGCGCACGUAGGCGGCUUUGUAAGUUAGAGGUGAAAGCCCGGGGCUCAACUCCGGAAUUGCCUUUAAGACUGCAUCGCUAGAAUUGUGGAGAGGUAAGUGGAAUUCCGAGUGUAGAGGUGAAAUUCGUAGAAAUUCGGAAGAACACCAGUGGCGAAGGCGACUUACUGGACACAUAUUGACGCUGAGGUGCGAAAGCGUGGGGAGCAAACAGG
rnacentral:rRNA from 1 species